UUCCACACUUUUCUUUCUUUUCCAUUUAUAUCACAUUUUGUCCAUUUUUCUCUGCAUACAUAUUAGUGUGUUUUGGGUCAAAUAUGCCAAUACUUUUCAUAUAAGUUUCAAAAACGGAAAUGCUAAUUUUCAUCCGGCUGAAAUCUUUUCGCGUUCAUCCGUUUUUCUGCUCGUUCGAUCCUUGUGUCAUGAUUCGUGAUUUCCUCUCUUUUUUUUUUCCCUACCUCGGGGUGUUUUGUUUGUUAUCGGGCCCGCAACCUUCUCCUGGAGACCCGUUAAUCGGGGCGGCGGCGCGAGCUUGAUGCAUUGAUUCAUGGCGAAUUUUGGCAAGAGAUCUCAGUCGCCGAUCUCUCGAGGGCGAGCCGGUGGCUAGGCAUCCGGUCCUCCUCCCCCCUCCCCCCUCCCAUCCCCUGCUUCCUUGUCCUCAAACGCACGCAGAGGGAGAGGCGAAAUCGAUGCCAUGGUGAUCCGGCUGCGUUGUCUUCUCUGCUUCGCUUGACUUCGCGCCACUCCUCAUCUUCCUCGUGUGGAUCUGCGAACCCUGUGUACCCCUCCUCAUCCUCCAUCCAUGGUUGGUUUUGAUUUGUUAAUGCUAUAAGAGAGACAUACAUUGAGGAACUUAGCUUCAUCAUGUUCGAGGUACAAGUUCUGGCCCUUCAUGCUUGUUUCCAUCCCAUUUGAUUCCAUUGCAGGCACCUGUAAAUGUAAAAAUGUAUAUAAGCAUUGUUCUGUUAAUCUUGAAACAUGUACUGUCUGCUUGUACAUGUGUUUGCCCCUUUUUGUCAGUUGAUAGGCUUAAUUGAUAUGAAAUUGAUCAUUUUAUUACUUCCUAUGUGUACUCAUUUGUAUUUACAAAUAGUAGUUUGUAGCAAUUUGAACUUCAAGUAGGAAAGAAAGGUCUUUCUAUGUAGUUCCAAAGUUUAUAAAAUUCAGUCCUAGUUUCUUUACUUUCUUGUAAAUGAGUUAUUUUGUAAUCAUGAUCUAAGCUUCUGAUUAGUGUAUAGUUUGUGUGUGCCAAAGUUUCUGAAUUACAGUCCUAGCUUUAUAAAAAUAGCAUUUCUAACCUGUUUGUUCAAGGAUUUUCCUAACUUUUUGUAUUUUAUCUCCCAGAACAUGUGAUCCCUAUCUUUUUUAUACUCAUUUCCAUGUGCUGUAACUGUUGUUUUCAAUUCAGGAACUUCCUAGUAGUUCUGAAAUUCACGAUUUUAACAUGGAUUUUUUGUUUCCUAACCUUUCUGCUCGUGCACCCCUAGACUCAUAGGAUCCUAGGGUUCUUCCUGGAUCUAGUUUAAUUCUUGGUUCUAGUGUAAACUUCCAGAAUUCCUUUUUUUUAGUUUAUUUGUCUCUGCAGCAUGUAUAUAUAAUGGUUCACAGCCGCCCUUUAUUUGAUUUCUGAUGUAGACAGGCAGGGGAGAGAGAUCUGUCUAAAUCAUACUUAGUAUGUGGUGAUUGCAAAGUUGGGGCUGUUUACCUGUGUUUAGUCAUCUUCAGCAGAGUGGAUCAUCUUCAGGUUUCUGUCCCAGAUCAUGGAGGAAUCGCCCUCUUGGUUGGCGCUUAUUCCCGUUUCCUCUAGCUAUUCUCCCCCCUCCAUGUUCUUCCCCUCUGCAGUGCAUUUUUGUAGUGGAUAUUACACUGAAAAUAAUAGUGGAAUUAUUAUUGUAAUUUUAUAGCUUUUCAAUGUAAUUUUUAGUGCUCCAGAGCUUAA